GCCCCGCAAUGCGAAUAACAUUUACCAUCAGACAAAUUUCAUCUUGCACAUAGUGGCAGUACUCCUAGGAACUUACUGUGAAAUGGGGAAUAGUAACAUCAUAUUGGCAGCUAUGAACAUGGAGUUUUCGUUCCAACGAAACCAAAACCCAUUACAACAUAUGCAAAGGCCUGGAGGUAUAUGUAAAGAUAGUAUUUGUGGCUUCCAAGUACGAAGUCAUAUGAAGCACAUAUUAGGAGGUGGAGUGCAAGCAAGAGCUCAGGAAAGUAAAUCCUGCAAAUGCAAUGAUUGCAAAAUAAGCACAACAAACAAGUAGCAUUUUUUAUUCCUUCAGCACGGAAAGAGUGAAUUGAUAUGCUAUGUAAGCCUCCUCAGUUACCUCUCAACGCAUUCUGUUGGCUUCACUGGUUCAAGGAGUGGAACAUCUAGGUCAUCCUUCACAAGAUCUCCUACCUUCUCAGUGACUACCCAAUCAUUUGCCCGUGCAGUCUCAAGUAAACCGGUUACAGCAGCACGCAUGCGGUGCAUGGACAUAACAUUCUCGAAGAGAAUCCAGAAGGGCAUCAAAUGGAGAGACCUGAUAUAUCACACAAUAUAAUCCAAAGAUGGCCACAUUGACGGAAGAUGGAAGGUUGAGCAUUGUUGGAUUAUGCGUACCAAGGAUUUCUGAUGGCGUUCAUACAUGUGAUUGCAGUGGGAAUAUAGACCAGCCCCCAUACAGGAAUGCUGACACCAGGAACCAUGGCAGACAAAGGGAUGACAACACAAUAAAACAAGAAUGUCACAAGGGGAGCAAUAACCCUUCGGACAAAGAAAAAGCUGUAUAACAGAUGAUGUUUCUUCCAUAUUGACACCUCCUGCAUCAUGUGCAGAUGGCAAUUAUAACAUGAGAAACU
rnacentral:misc_RNA from 1 species